UACGUAGGGCGCAAGCGUUAUCCGGAAUUAUUGGGCGUAAAGAGCUCGUAGGCGGUUUGUCGCGUCUGCCGUGAAAACCCGCGGCUCAACUGUGGGCGGGCAGCUGAUACGGGCAGGCUGGAGUUCGGUAGGGGAGACUGGAAUUCCUGGUGUAGCGGUGAAAUGCGCAGAUAUCAGGAGGAACACCGGUGGCGAAGGCGGGUCUCUGGGCCGUAACUGACUCUGAGGAGCGAAAGCGUGGGGAGCGAACAGG
rnacentral:rRNA from 1 species